rnacentral:rRNA from 1 species
AGUGAACGCUGGCGGUGGGCCUAACACAUGCAAGUCGAACGGCAGCACAGUAAGAGCUUGCUCUUACGGGUGGCGAGUGGCGGACGUGUGAGGAAUACAUCGGACUCUACUUUUUCGUGGGGGAUAACGUAGGGAAACUUACGCUAAUACCGCAUACGACCUACGGGUGAAAGCAGGGGAUCUUCGGACCUUGCGCGAUUGAAUGAGCCGAUGUCGGAUUAGCUAGUUGGCGGGGUAAAGGCCCACCAAGGCGACGAUCCGUAGCUGGUCUGAGAGGAUGGUCAGCCACACUGGAACUGAGACACGGUCCAGACGCCUACGGGAGGCAGCAGUGGGGAAUAUUGGACAAUGGGCGCAAGCCUGAUCCAGCCAUACCGCGUGGGUGAAGAAGGCCUUCGGGUUGUAAAGCCCUUUUGUUGGGAAAGAAAAGCAGCAGGUUAAUACCCCGCUGUUCUGACGGUACCCAAAGAAUAAGCACCGGCUAACUUCGUG